rnacentral:rRNA from 1 species
UUAAAUUGAAGAGUUUGAUCAUGGCUCAGAUUGAACGCUGGCGGCAGGCCUAACACAUGCAAGUCGAACGGUAACAGAAAGCAGCUUGCUGCUUUGCUGACGAGUGGCGGACGGGUGAGUAAUGUCUGGGAAACUGCCUGAUGGAGGGGGAUAACUACUGGAAACGGUAGCUAAUACCGCAUAACGUCGCAAGACCAAAGAGGGGGACCUUCGGGCCUCUUGCCAUCGGAUGUGCCCAGAUGGGAUUAGCUAGUAGGUGGGGUAACGGCUCACCUAGGCGACGAUCCCUAGCUGGUCUGAGAGGAUGACCAGCCACACUGGAACUGAGACACGGUCCAGACUCCUACGGGAGGCAGCAGUGGGGAAUAUUGCACAAUGGGCGCAAGCCUGAUGCAGCCAUGCCGCGUGUAUGAAGAAGGCCUUCGGGUUGUAAAGUACUUUCAGCGGGGAGGAAGGGAGUAAAGUUAAUCCCUUUGCUCAUUGACGUUACCCGCAGAAGAAGCACCGGCUAACUCCGUGCCAGCAGCCGCGGUAAUACGGAGG